UACGGAGGGGCUAGCGUUGUUCGGAAUUACUGGGCGUAAAGCGCACGUAGGCGGCUUUGUAAGUUAGAGGUGAAAGCCCAGGGCUUAACCCUGGAAUUGCCUUUAAGACUGCAUCGCUAGAAUCGUGGAGAGGUAAGUGGAAUUCCGAGUGUAGAGGUGAAAUUCGUAGAUAUUCGGAAGAACACCAGUGGCGAAGGCGACUUACUGGACACGUAUUGACGCUGAGGUGGCGAAAAGCGUGGGGAGCAAACAGG
rnacentral:rRNA from 1 species